GCCCCUGUAGCUCAACGGUAGAGCACGCGGCUCAUAAUCGCUUGGUUGUAGGUUCGAAUCCUGCCGGGGGCA
rnacentral:tRNA from 1 species